UGGCCCCUUUCCAUCUGCAAAGCCAGCAAGGGCAGCUCAAGUCUCAGAUCAGUGUCCCUCUGAUGUGGACUUUUCUGCCUUCCUCUCUACAUUUAAAAGACUCUGGCAAGAGCUGUGUUUACCCCACCUGAUUAGCAUUGCCUCCUCCUUUCGCUUCCUGCCCAGCAGCCCCUUCUGCAGGAACCCACCUUGUUCUGCCUCUGCUCCUGCUGGACCUCAGGGUUGCCCUGGCCAGCAUCACAUGAUGGCACUGGCUGGUUCACCACCAUCAGUGAUAUUUGGAAGACUGAACACGAGUUUCCAAACCCAUCCACUCCAUAGUCUUCCUGAGCCACAUUCCAACCAUGUGAAAUAAGUAUACAGAAUAUUAUUCCCAUUCAACAGAAGAAGAGAACUAAGGUUCACAGAGAAGGAAGUUCACUCAUCAUUCAAUAAACAUUUAUCAAGAGUCCACAGUGCUGGGCCCUGGAAUACAGCAGAGACCAGACAAAUGGUACCAGCCUAGUGUUGGUAAGUCAGAAGCAGAAACCAUGAUGGGCAUGUUGCUCUUGUCAGCCACCACCUGUUGCCUGAGGAAACCAACCUCUCCACAUUCCAUUUCUGCUGUGGUGGUCAAUCAACUUGUUUCCUUUACUUUGCAAAAUGGUCUAGGUGGAGCCAAUAUGGCACCAUAUUCCCUAGACAGUGAUUGGUCCAGAGGGUGGGCAGACGAUCCUAGCAGGACCAAUUAGUCUUUCCUAGGGUUUUCAUAUGGAUGUUGGGAUACAGGCAUUUCUUUCUAAGGUUGCUAAGGCAGGUGGGUGUUAAGUCUU